GAACGCUGGCGGCGUGCUUAACACAUGCAAGUCGAACGGUGAAGCCAAGCUUGCUUGGUGGAUCAGUGGCGAACGGGUGAGUAACACGUGAGCAACCUGCCCUGGACUCUGGGAUAAGCGCUGGAAACGGUGUCUAAUACUGGAUAUGAGCUCUCAUCGCAUGGUGGGGGUUGGAAAGAUUUUUCGGUCUGGGAUGGGCUCGCGGCCUAUCAGCUUGUUGGUGAGGUAAUGGCUCACCAAGGCGUCGACGGGUAGCCGGCCUGAGAGGGUGACCGGCCACACUGGGACUGAGACACGGCCCAGACUCCUACGGGAGGCAGCAGUGGGGAAUAUUGCACAAUGGGCGGAAGCCUGAUGCAGCAACGCCGCGUGAGGGAUGACGGCCUUCGGGUUGUAAACCUCUUUUAGCAGGGAAGAAGCGAGAGUGACGGUACCUGCAGAAAAAGCGCCGGCUAACUACGUGCCAGCAGCCGCGGUAAUACGUAGGGCGCAAGCGUUAUCCGGAAUUAUUGGGCGUAAAGAGCUCGUAGGCGGUUUGUCGCGUCUGCUGUGAAAUCCCGAGGCUCAACCUCGGGCCUGCAGUGGGUACGGGCAGACUAGAGUGCGGUAGGGGAGAUUGGAAUUCCUGGUGUAGCGGUGGAAUGCGCAGAUAUCAGGAGGAACACCGAUGGCGAAGGCAGAUCUCUGGGCCGUAACUGACGCUGAGGAGCGAAAGGGUGGGGAGCAAACAGGCUUAGAUACCCUGGUAGUCCACCCCGUAAA
rnacentral:rRNA from 1 species